UACGUAGGGGGCAAGCGUUGUCCGGAUUUAUUGGGCGUAAAGAGCGUGUAGGCGGCCAGACAGGUCAGCUGUGAAAACUCGAGGCUCAACCUCGAGACGUCGGCGGAAACCCUCUGGCUAGAGUCCGGAAGAGGAGAGUGGAAUUCCUGGUGUAGCGGUGAAAUGCGCAGAUAUCAGGAAGAACACCCGUGGCUAAGGCGGCUCUCUAGUACGUGACUGACGCUGAGACGCGAAAGCGUGGGGAGCGAACAGG
rnacentral:rRNA from 1 species